CUCAUGAUUUAUUUAUUUAUUGCGUUGUACGUUAUUAAAUUUGGCACAGUGGAUCAAACAAAAAAUCUGCAACAUCAAUGAGAAAUUAAGCUAAUUAAAGAUACCCGGAUGAUUACAUGCAAGCAUCCAAGAUUGUUCUUCAAAGGUAGAGUUAAUUUAACCUGUCCACAAAAACCAGAUUUCAUGAAUUGCAUGCAGCAAAUACAUCCAACUGAGGAGCCAAAAAAUGAUGGGAAAUUAUUGAAGUACCUUACUUGUUUGAGCAAAAGCAUAAAGUGCAGAGCUACGAAGAUAUAUGAAACCCCCAAACACAGCAGGAUUGGAAUCCUAAGAAGCACAUAGCCCUACAAAGCGCACAAACCCUUUCUUAUACGGGGGCGAUAUGAUAGAUGAUUAUGUGAAAAAAAGAGAAGAAAAACAACCCCAACACCCACUCAACAACGCAAACAAAAAGGCAAAUGAUGAUACCUGAAAAGACAACAAUUGAAAGAGUUCCAUUACCAAAAAAAAAUAAAAAAAUGAUGAACAAGGCAAAUUAACUCAUCUAGUUAUAGGUCAUUAAUCGUGAAUGAUCGAAAGCCAGAGAGGAAGAGAGAUUGAUAGGACGCAGGAUUGGCUAGAAAAUUUAUCAAAUAUGGUCGAAGACAGAUCCAAAUGAAUACGAAAUUAAUAGCAAAGCAAAAGAAACAACCCUUAAAAAUUGAAGAGGCAAUUAAGAAAAAAUACAAUGGACAAUGCAUCAGAUGCUUAAUCGUGCAUGCGUGUGGUAGUAACCUCUUAUGCAAGUCUUCCACCCACCUGAAUCUGACUCCGUUGAAAAGCUUGAGAUCACGCUACUUGAUAGGGUUUCUUAAAUGAUUGUGUGCAAAUUUUGCUCUGGUGUGGUGGGUUUAAUGCUUGUAUUCUU
rnacentral:lncRNA from 1 species